UACGAAGGGGGCUAGCGUUGUUCGGAUUUACUGGGCGUAAAGCGCACGUAGGCGGAUCGUUAAGUCGGGGGUGAAAUCCUGGAGCUCAACUCCAGAACUGCCUUCGAUACUGGCGAUCUUGAGUCCGGAAGAGGUGAGUGGAAUUCCUAGUGUAGAGGUGGAAUUCGUAGAUAUUGGGAAGAACACCAGUGGCGAAGGGCGGCUCACGUGGUCCGGU
rnacentral:rRNA from 1 species